GCCUCUGUGGCGCAAUCGGUCAGCACUUUUGGUUGUUAACCGAAAGGAUGGUGGUUCGGUCCCACCCAGGGACG